GAAAAACAAGUUUUAAUGACUCCAACCUAAGUGUAUGUAAACUUCUGACUUCAACUGUAGGUCUUCUCAUCUUCACAUCUGCUUUUAUUCAUCUGUUGUGUAUUUGUGCAGAGAAUUUUGAGCACAUAUGGCAGAAGACAUUGACAGUGCUGAACCCUGUGAUCCCAGCAGAUGGCAGCAUCAUGAAUGAGACCGACCUGACCCUAUUCUGUUCUGUAUCGCUCUGGGUGUCACUUUACUCAUGGUGAAGAACCUCCCCAGCAGCUUAUGUCCAAGUGUGUGUGUGUGUGUUGCAUGUUUUCACAGCCCAAGUCAUCAUGAUUUACUAUUCAGAUAAAAAAUACUUGUAGCUUUGCUGUAUGUAACUGUGCAUGUAUUGUACUGAAAAUGUACUGUAACAAAAUGUAUUUACUCUUUAUAUAGGCAGGCAAAUCCCACUUUGGCUAUGUCUAUGGGAUCAGUACCAUCGGCUGUAUGAUGAUCUACACCCUGUUGACCCUGAUGGGUUCCCUGACUGUGUCCUAUGGCUGUGUAGCCAGCGUGCUGGGCUACCGCCUCCACCCCACUGUGGCACUAUCUGCAUUUGCAGUCGUCUUUCCCCGACAGCGAGUAGGCCUUUCCAGUCCAAAAACAAUUAAAAGAGGGAUCGACCCUGGCCUUGCUGGUGAUUGGCUGGUGCAGUCUCUCAGCUUCCAAGAUCUUCAUCUCCACCCUGGCUAUGGAGGGUCAGCAGCUGUUGGUAGCGUACCCCUGUGCCCUGCUCUAUGGAGUCUGUGCCUUGCUAACAGUGUUCUGAAGGCCACUACUGUCACUGACUGUCAACAGAGAUCCAAUUUCUGAAGGACUACAUUGGGCAAUACAUGCCUGGUAUGGGUGUCAGUCUGGUAUUGAGUUAUAGUUAUAUAUGGAGUUGUGUUUGUUGAAUUCCUAUAUUUAAAAAAAAAAAUGAGGCUCAGUUUUUCCAUAGGAUUUACUUUACAUUGUGAAAAAUGUAAUCUGGGUGUGUAAUUGGUUGACAUUUGUGCAUUGGAAUGUGCCAAUAAAUGGAAUUUGAAAUGUUA